rnacentral:rRNA from 1 species
AACGAUCAUGGCUCAGAUUGAACGCUGGCGGGAUGCUUUACACAUGCAAGUCGAAUGGCAGCACGGACUUCGGUCUGGUGGCGAGUGCGAACGGUGAUAAUGUAUCGGAACGUGCCUAGUAGCAGAGCACCAUGCGAAAGCGUACUAAUACCGCUACGCCCUUCGGGGAAAGCGGGGACCUUUCGCCUCGCACUAUUAGAGCGGCCGAUACGGAUUAGCUAGUUGGCGGGGCAACGGCUCACCGGCGACGAUCCGUAGCUGGUUUGAGAGGAUGACCAGCCACACUGGGACUGAGACACGGCCCAGACUCACGGAGGCAGCAGUGGGAACAACGACACGGGGAAACUCAUCCAGCCAUCUCGCGUGUGCGAUGAAGGCCUUCGGGCUGUAAAGCACUUUGGCAGGAAGAAAACGGCACGGAGGUCAUCCCAACGCAACUGACGGUACCUGCAGAAUAAGCACCGCCAACUGGCCGCCAAAAAGUCGCGGUAAUACGUAGGGUGCAAGGCUAAUCGGAAUUACUGGCGGCGCGUGGCGCAGGCGGUUCCGGAAAGAAGAUGUAAAUCCCAGAGCUUAACUUUGAACCGCAUUUUUAACUACCGAGCUAGAGUGUGUCAGAGGGAGUGUGGAAUUCCGCAGCAGUGAAAUGCGUAGAUAUGCGGAGGAACACCGAUGGCGAAGGCACCUCCUGGGAUAACACCGACGCUCAUGCACGAAAGCGUGGGGAGCAAACAGGAUUAGAUAACGGUAGUCCACGCCCUAAACGAUGUCAACUAGCUGUUGGGGCCUUCGGGCCUUGGUAGCGCAGCUAACGCGUGAAGUUGACCGCCUGGGGGAGUACGGUCGCAAGAUUAAAACUCAAAGGAAUUGACGGACCCGCACAAGCGGUGGAUGAUGUAUUUAAUCUGAUGCAACGCGAAAAACCUUACCUACCCUUGACAUGUCUGGAACUUGAAGAGACGGAGUGCUCGCAAGAGAACCGGAACACAGGUGCUGCAUGGCUGUCGUCAGCUCGUGUCGUGAGAUGUUGGGUUAAGUCCCGCAACGAGCGCAAACCCUUGUCAUUAGUUGCUACGAAAGGGCACUCUAAUGAGACUGCCGGUGACAAACCGAGGAAGGUGGGGAUGACGUCAAGUCCUCAUGGCCCUUAUGGGUAGGCUUCACACGUCAUACAAUGGUCGGGACAGAGGGUCGCCAACCCGCGAGGGGAGCCACCAGAAACCUGAUCGUAGUCCGGAUCGCAGUCUGCAACUCGACUGCGUGAAGUCGGAAUCGCGUAAUCGCGGAUCAGCAUGUCGCGGUGAAUACGUUCCCGGGUCUUGUACACACCGCCCGUCACACCAUGAGUGGGUUUACCAGAAGUAGUUAGCUCAACCGUAAGGAGGGCGAUUACCACGGUAGAGUUCCAUGACUGGGGUGCGAAGUCGUAACAAGGUAG